GCCGACUUAGCUCAGAUGGUAGAGCAUCUGAUUUGUAAUCAGAGGGUCACGUGUUCGAUUCAUGUAGUCGGCA
rnacentral:tRNA from 1 species